UCGUCUAAGGUUCACGGUCAUCUAGUGCCAAACACGCAUUAUCUGUGGUUGACAACAAGCUCAUAGCCACAUCUGCAUUGUUGAAUGCUAUUCUAAUUAGUGUUCUGAAUGGCUUCUUCCCCUAGAAAACUAAUUUGCUAAGGGCUGUGAACACUGUGCUGAUUUCAUCAUAUACCCAUGGUAUUCAAGUGGAGACUCACAAAAAUAUGAUUAGGUGCCCUUUGGACUUAAAGUUUUACUUCCAGGGAAGAACACAUCAUUUAGUGAGAUUGUGGUUGGCUUUAUUUUGUAACAGGAAAAAGUAGCGACACAGAUAGAAUUUUUUUUUUUUUUAAUGAUUAGCAAUCAAUAUUGGUCGCUAACAUCACAUAAACAACGGGACAUAUCAAAAGUCUAAGUACUCACUUUUUGAUCAUGUAACAGUGGGGAUGAGUGGCAGGUGAACAUUAUCAUCACCAAGCCAAACAGCUCCAAUCAUUUGAGUUUGUGGUCAGAGCGUUCCUCUUCCAAUCGUAUUACCAGCUCAAACCGAUGCAUGUAUUUCACUAGUGCCAUGACCCGGAGUUGGACAAAGGUUUAGUGAAUGGCCACUAUGAGGUCAUCCAGAGGAUGAAGGAAACGAGCAGGAAGAUGACGCUGGUUAACGACGCAGCGGAGCCCAGAUACAGCAUCGCCCCUACGCCAAGGAGAGCCAUGAGCAGGCUGUAGCUGAUGGAGCCCAGGAGCUCCUCCGCCCUGCGGGCCACCUCCUCCGCCCCCAGUGCCGGCUGGUUACACACGGCGUCCAUGUGGUUGACCAGGACCUCCGAGCCGUAGGCGAAGUCCGCCACGGA